rnacentral:rRNA from 1 species
UGUUUCGGCUAGGGGGCCAUCCCGGCUUACCAACCCGAUGCAAACUGCGAAUACCGGAGAAUGUUAUCACGGGAGACACACGGCGGGUGCUAACGUCCGUCGUGAAGAGGGAAACAACCCAGACCGCCAGCUAAGGUCCCAAAGUCAUGGUUAAGUGGGAAACGAUGUGGGAAGGCCCAGACAGCCAGGAUGUUGGCUUAGAAGCAGCCAUCAUUUAAAGAAAGCGUAAUAGCUCACUGGUCGAGUCGGCCUGCGCGGAAGAUGUAACGGGGCUAAACCAUGCACCGAAGCUGCGGCAGCGAACGUAUCACUUAAAGCGAUUCAGCGGGUUACGAUUGACGGAGCGAAGCGACGUCAAAGCGUAUACAAAGUCGAGUCGGUUUAAGGAUACGUUCGUUGGGUAGGGGAGCGUUCUGUAAGCCUGUGAAGGUGUGUCGUGAGGCAUGCUGGAGGUAUCAGAAGUGC